UCUUGAAAUGAGAUAGCCUUCACCUUACCCUUUCAUUGCGAAGUUUUCCGACCCGCCCGCCAGGAGUCGUAAUGAAAAGAAAUCUGUAAAAGCUGUGAUUUUCAAAAUUUUUGAGAAUUCGUUUACAUCUCCUAGCAAUGGCAGUGUUUAUUGGUGUUUUGGUGUUUAUCAUUUGACACAUUUCCUGUGUUGUGUUCGCGUCAUUUAUGCGUGAUUUAAUUGUGGGAUAGUGCUUCUCAAAGUUUUCUUAAUUUAUGUGUUUACAUUGUACAUUGAAGAGUAUAAUUGCCAAAUAACCAAAAUGCAACACAACAACAUGUUACGGAUAUGUGACAAGAGUUAAGCCGAUCUUUGGGUUCCACAUCCAAAUCGGUUUAUGGCGCAAAUAAUAAAGCCGCGAAUAACCAAAAACUGGUGGUUUUAAACAACAACCAAAUUUAUAGCAGAGGGUACACUGGCUUCCAUCAUUUUCGACCAGACAAAGACUACAUACCAGGAACGCAAAAGCCGCAUGGAUUUGCCACCUAUUUGGCCUUUUCAAACUGAUAGUGAACUUACUGCAGCAUCACUCGAGGCAAAUUACAUUGAUGUGGCAAUCACAAGAACGUCUUGCGCUCCCCUAAGAAGAUUCUAGGAGAUCAACGUUUGGUUGGUAUCGUGAAAGGAUUGCCUCCCUUAUUGCCUUAGAAUUUUUUGAAAACUAGAUUAGAAACGUAAACGGAAAAGCAGGAGUUGUACAUUUGAGGAGAAAGCAGAUGCCGCUGCUAUUUGGAAAUAUGGUUCAAAAUCGUAUAAACUUCUGUCAAGAAUGUUUAUGUUGCUAUCUAUUAACACUUUGAGGGCAACCCUAAAUAAAGUUCCAAUAGAACCGGGUAUCAUCAAAUCUAUAUUCGAAGUUCUCAGAAUGCAAGUAAGUCGCAAAAUGAACCCUAACUAUGUAGGUACUCUGAUGUUCAUUUAGCCUCAUCUGGACUACUUGCCUUGUGAGGACAGAGUUGUGGUUUUUGAAGAUGAUGGUUCAACAAGAACGGAAAAAAUUGCAAACGAUAUUUGCGUACUCAGAGGAAUUUUCGGAAGGUAGAAGCAACCUGUUGGUUUUGAUUUUUGUAAAAAUUUGAUGCCUGACGUCAACAUUGCCCAUUUUUUUUAUAAAGAGGUUAUGGAAGGGCCAACAGCGAUUGCUUUUGAUUUUCGGGAGUGUUUUGCGUAUCGAAGAACUAAAAACUCAACUUUUUCAUUUACUUUUAAGAGAGUCUAUCUUUAGAUCUAUGAAAAAAGUCAGCAAUGUAAUAUUUGGUAAGCAAGAGCCUAACAAAUCAAUUCCAUUGGAAACAGAAAUGCAACAGUUAUAUUUACGUUUUACAGAAAGAAAGUAGAACGUUUGUAUAAUUUUGCAUUUUGCAGGUUAUUCAUCAGCUUUAUUUUGUUCAUACCAUGACAAAGUAGUGGGAAACAUAUUUUGUUAUCGAUUUUGAACAUUUAAUAUUUAAAAUGUUAUUUUAUUUUGCAACGUUUUGUUUGACUUUUGCUUACUUUUCUAAUUUUCCGUAAGACAUUUUUAGGGUAUUAUCAAUGUGAUGUUUUUUUUUUAUUUCUUGUUAUUAUUGUAUUUACAUUUACAACUGAAUGUUAAGUUUUAAAUAUACUAUG